UACCAUGGUGUAGUGGUUUUCAUGCUAGACUAUGACUUUGGAGACCAGUGUUCAAAUCCACUCAGCCAUGGAAA